UGGUUCUGCUGGCCCCAGAAUGAUCUUGCAUCACAUCUCCAUAAGAAAUGAACUCGAGAGUCUCAGUGAUAGCAAAAUAAAUAAGAUUAUGUUCUUCAAAUUUUGAAGUUAGUGAAUAUGAAGCUUCGUUUUGUACUCCACCGCGUAUAUUUGUCGAAAGCUUAGCCAAAUGAAUAUACGUGGUGUUUCCACAAAACUGAAAAGCUUACUUGGAUUGGAUUUUACACAAUCCUUUCUGACAUACAAGCAAUAUAUAUUAAUUCAUAAAUGCGAUAGUAUAUAAAAAAUAUAUUAAAUGAUACGUGAUAUAUGUUAAUUUGCGGUGGACGCCUUCACUAGCACGAAGACAAUUUGCCGUAGUCCUCCGUUCCAGCGAAGCAAUCGUCGACCUUCCGAAAAGUUCGUCUAACUUUCGGUAAUUGUAUCCUGUCCAUAAUUCCGUCGAUAUUCGUAUUAAUUUCGGUUGCCACUCGUCCAGAAAAUAUUCGUUAUACCGUCGCAUCGAUCCGGCUGGCAAUAAAAUGUUUUUUCGGAAACUGUUUCGGGACGAAUAGCGUUGUUCAUGCCGAGAAUUCGUAUUAAUUUCGGUCGCCAUCCGUCCAGAACAUAUUCGUGAUAUUAUACAGGUACACAUAAAUAUGCGCAUAUAGAUGAUUCUGCUGGCCACAGAAUGAUCCUGC